rnacentral:lncRNA from 15 species
CAGACUCAUUGAGAUGAGGUGUGAAACCGUUAUCCGCAGCCUUAUACUGUACCUUGGCGAGAAGGAAGAGGAACUUUUUGAAGACUGCUUGGAGGACAGCCGAAGUGAUGUCAGUAACCACAUCCUCAAAAUACUCGUCGUCCAUGGUGCUGAUGAAGAUCCAGUUGAUGUCUCCAUCCUUGUCGAAGGCCAUGAGAUUUUGCCAGGGUGCAACAGUACUGCGAAAGCUUUCUCACUGCUCAGGGGACUGAUUUAUGCCCUUAACUUGGCAUACCCUCCCACUGUGCGCUACAAAAACUCUUGCUGGAGCUGGAUGGCUUUAAACUGUCCCCAAAAGUAAACACCUUGAAGUUGAAGUUGCUUUCCUAAAUGCAUCUCAUUACUUUGUCAUCCUAGAGGAGAAAAAUGUGGCAUCAUGCAUGGACCCUUGUGAAGAAAUGCCAAGAAUUAGCACUGAAUUCCAGUUCAUCUUGGUUUACUAGUGGGAAGUUGCCUGUCAUAAAUGUUUUUCAUUUUUUGUCAAAUAAGGUAACUAUUAAUUAGAGUAAAGAUUUUAUUCUUCAUCUAGAAUGGUUAGACACCUUAAGCUGUUCAUUUUUAAUUUAUUCUGUUGAUUUUAUUAAUGUUUUAAUUGCAUUCUUAAAAGUGCACUAGUCUAGAGGACUGGUUUAAAUGUUGAAAUUGCACUGUUUCAGAGUGUAGGUUUGUAAGAUUUUAAUUGUUACCAGAUCCAUGUUGGAUGUGGUGUAUAAUGUGUAAUACUGUGUAUUUGUUGUUUACCAGUCAUACCAACCUUUCAGUAGUAUGAUACAAAUUUGGAUAUUUUUCUUUAAAAAAUAGGCCUAUACGUAGUCUUACUUUAAAUACAUUUUGCUGGAGAUAUAUCUUUAAUUUGCUGUUAGUACAAAUUCUAAUGCAGUACAAUAUAAUGCACUUUUACUUUUAAUGCAGUACUUGUACAUUCAGGUAUACAUAAUCCUUACACCACUGGUUUGGCUGCAGUUGCUCCGCCCAUCUCUCCAGCUGCAUGCCUGCACUGUUGACGUGUGUGUUCCUGUGUUUCAUUAUUCUACACUUUCAGUUGUUUCUAUCCUGACCCUCUCCCUGAAGUUGUUUAGAGCAUGUUUGUGUGUUUUAAAUGAAAAAUAAACAGUUUAAUUGCAUUGUAAUUUAGUUGUGUGAUAUGUGAUAAAUAUAUAUUAAAUGCAUAGAGUAUUGGUUAAAUUUAUUUGGUAACAUUUAUCAAAAGAAAACUGGCAAUGAUUACCUAAUUUUAGUGAGUAAUGUAACGUAAUGCAACCAAGUAAAUUAAAAUGUCAAGCACAAGAAAAUAAUUAAAAUCUACUAAAUUACGUCAUAACAGAUAUAUAAAAGUUACUUAAAAUUUUGAGGAAAAUUAUGUUCUUGCCUAUGAAAAGCAAGUAGACUUUACUUAAUUUGUUUAAAUAGAUAUAACUUAAAACUUGUAAUGUAAUUAAGUAAAUGUUUCUUAAUAUCUUCACAACUGUUAUGUUUUAUGGUAAGUAAAAUUUACUUGAUACUGGCAAGUUAGUGUUACUUGAUAUUGCAGCAUUAAAUUUUACUUGAAUCAUUUGCGUGCAAAUACUUACAAUAUAUUUUAUAUAUAAAUAAAUCUUAUGAGUUAUUUUUUUCAGUGCUCCUCCUCUGAUCCUCCAGCGGGUAAAGGCCCUGCAUGGGCUGGAAGACGCUGGAAGUCAACAAUGGGGGUGCAUCAUAGUUUUUCAAUCAUGAGAUAUAGAUAUAUAUAUAUUAAAAAAAAAAAAACUUCCCUCUCACCCUCCUGGGGUGGUAUCUGUGUCAUCCUCAAGCUCGGGUCCUCUACCAGAGGCCUGGGAGUUUGAGGGUUCUGCGCAGUAUCUUAGCUGUUCCUAGGACUGCACUCUUCUGGACUGAGGCUUCUGAUGUUGUUCCUGGGAUCUGUUGGAGCCACUCCCCCAGUUUGGGAGUCACUCCCCCGAGAGCUCCUACUACCACAGGGAUCACGCUCGCCUUGAUCUUCCACAUCUGCUCCAGCUGUUCUUUCAACCCU